GGUAUCUUAGCAAUCAACAGCUGUUUGUUGAUUUCAUUGGUAAUUUUACACCGAGUCCGCAACGUUUGAGAAAAAAAUCUUAUUUUCGAUUCCCAUUACAGUUUUACUUUUAUUAUUCGUACGUUCUCGAUUUGUUUGUCCCUUUUUAACUUUUUUCAAGCGUAAAGUUGGUAGAGCUGUAUAAGAUUCGUUUACUUUUACGUUGUAAUGCGAAGCAGUGAGCGUCGGCGUAAAAAGGAACUGAACCAUGGACCAAGUUACAACAGAUUACAUGGAGCACCUCCAAGUGCUCGGUUAAGAGCAAGCGCAUCUUCGCCAUCGUUUUCAGGGACACGACCCAGAGUUCGAUUUGACGAGGGACCUCACGAAGUUCGUACUAUUGAUUCACAACAACAACCAAAAUCAACGUUUGUGAAUUUCUUCGGAGAUCAUAGAGCGCCCUCAAGUGAUGUAGAGUUGGAGGAAGUAAUGCGGCAUUAUGGGAUUAAUGAUGCCGAUUCAAAUAACAUUCCAUCCUCUUCACCACUACCUAAACCAACUCCAUCAAAUGAACAUAACCAAAGGCUUGCAUCUGUUGCUGUGAGUGUUUCAAGUGGUCUCGGAAACUUUCUACUUGCUUUCCCAUGUCAGGUUCUCAGACGGCAGUGCCAGAUUAACCAUGUGGGAAGGAAAUAUCAUCUCACACCUUUCACCAUUAUAAGUGUUGCAGCAAACCUACAGAGAGCUCAGGGAGUAACUUGCCUUUGGAAAGGCAUAGGUAGCAGUCUUUGGUUAAACGCAAUCGAAAUCAGCAGCGAGUCAAUUGUGAGUGAAGUAUCAUCUGGUAAACUACCAAAGGAUGUUGGUUCCAAUGCAUCGAUUAAAAGGCUUUCCUCUCAUCUGGUAUUGAAGCUUAUCUCAUCUGUUUUAGUGUCACCGUUUUUCUCAGCACAUCUGGUUGAAAGUGUGCAGAGUGAAAUAACUUCAGAAACACCAGGAAUAUUCUCAUGUUUAACUGACGGGGUUUUUCGCUUGUUUGGUGUUGGAAGAGUGCAGAGUCCAUUGUUGGUCCCGUUUCGACGUCUCAUUCUCCCCACUGUGUUAUACUCACUACUGCGAUAUGUCUUAUCAGCUUCACUUCAGCAACUUGUCCUCUACCUUAUGAGGUUGCAUUCCAGGCGUCAGCAUGAAAAGCGGUUAGCAAGGCUACAACCCCGGUCUCCUGUAUUUCAAACAGAAGAACCUCUCAUCAACCCGGCAAUAACACCUGAUAGGAAUUCCCCUUCUUCACUACUAACUGAACAUUACCCAGAAUUGGUGUCCGGGUUCGUGGCAGAUAUGAUUUCCGACAUAAUGUUGUAUCCAAUGGAAACAGUGCUACACAGACUGCAUAUACAGGGCACACGUACCAUCAUUGAUAACACAGACACGGGUCGCGGCUUCAUGCCUGUAAGCUCGAGACAUGAAGGUUUCUUUGACUGUUGGUCAACCACUGUUACACAUGAAGGUUACAUGGGUCUAUACCGGGGCUUUGGGGCGUUAACAAUGCAAUAUUCAUUAAGAUACGCAGUUUUAAGACUAACUAAACUUAUUCUGCAAGUUGCUUCUGGUUGUUGAUUGUAAAUGAUGUAAAUGACUCCCAUUUGUUAUUAAAGUAACAUUUUCAUUUAUUACUUAUAAAUAUUAAUGGUUAUAACUAGCUUGGCUGAUAAAAAAUAUAAACCAAUUUUUUAUAAGAUAUAUCUGGUCGGGACUGCUAUUUCUUGCAAAAAAUGUUGCGUUUGUACAGUAAGAAUGCAGUUAUUUAAAAAGUGCUCAACUUUUGGAAAAAAAUUGUUUUUUUCUUUAAAAUAUUUCUCUUAAUAUCUUGCUAUGAUAUGCUCUUCUGUGCCUCUUCAUUCAUUUGCUUGAAUACUUGUCUUAGUUUGCUUGUGAUGGAUUGUUAAUACCUGAUUGUUAUUCACUAUGCUUGGUGUUAAAUACAACUCGUAACGAUAAAAGCAAUUAUACCUUGGUUUCGUAAA